rnacentral:rRNA from 1 species
UGGGGAAUAUUGGACAAUGGGCGAAAGCCUGAUCCAGCCAUGCCGCGUGUGUGAAGAAGGUCUUCGGAUUGUAAAGCACUUUAAGUUGGGAGGAAGGGCAUUAACCUAAUACGUUAGUGUUUUGACGUUACCGACAGAAUAAGCACCGGCUAACUCUGUGCCAGCAGCCGCGGUAAUACAGAGGGUGCAAGCGUUAAUCGGAAUUACUGGGCGUAAAGCGCGCGGAGGUGGUUUGUUAAGUUGGAUGUGAAAUCCACGGGCUCAACCUGGGAACUGCAUUCAAAACUGACUGACUAGAGUAUGGUAGAGGGUGGUGGAAUUUCCUGUGUAGCGGUGAAAUGCGUAGAUAUAGGAAGGAACACCAGUGGCGAAGGCGACCACCUGGACUAAUACUGACACUGAGGUGCGAAAGCGUGGGGAGCAAACA